UAAAUCAAAAGGUCAAUGUUUGUUUACCCACAGGGAGAUCAAUGUUUUGUUUUAAUGUUCUACGGAGAGGUUGUGGCUCAUGCCUCAUGACAGGGAGAUCAAUGUUUGUUUUAAUGUUCUACGGAGAGGUUGUGGCUCAUGCCUCACGACAUUUACAAGAGGAAAAUUCAAAUAAUCUCUAGGUGCUAGCACUUAAAAGAAGGUACAGCCUUAGAGGUUCACUCUCAAGUAAAAUACAAAAGACGUAAAUAGACCUGAGAAUACAACUCAAUAGCCUGUAUUGUGUAAGCUUGGUUCCCAUCCCAUGGCAAAGGUGGAGAACUUGCUGAGAACAUGUUUGUUAGUUAAGGCCAACAUGAAAGAAAACUAAUUAAAAUAUCUGUGCGUUCCUUUUUUU
rnacentral:lncRNA from 1 species